CCUACGGGAGGCAGCAGUGGGGAAUUUUGGACAAUGGGCGCAAGCCUGAUCCAGCCAUGCCGCGUGCGGGAAGAAGGCCUUCGGGUUGUAAACCGCUUUUGUCAGGGAAGAAAAGGUUCUGGCUAAUACCUGGGACUCAUGACGGUACCUGAAGAAUAAGCACCGGCUAACUACGUGCCAGCAGCCGCGGUAAUACGUAGGGUGCAAGCGUUAAUCGGAAUUACUGGGCGUAAAGCGUGCGCAGGCGGUUAUGCAAGACAGAGGUGAAAUCCCCGGGCUCAACCUGGGAACUGCCUUUGUGACUGCAUAGCUAGAGUACGGUAGAGGGGGAUGGAAUUCCGCGUGUAGCAGUGAAAUGCGUAGAUAUGCGGAGGAACACCGAUGGCGAAGGCAAUCCCCUGGACCUGUACUGACGCUCAUGCACGAAAGCGUGGGGAGCAAACAGGAUUAGAUACCCUGGUAGUCCACGCCCUAAACGAUGUCAACUGGUUGUUGGGAGGGUUUCUUCUCAGUAACGUAGCUAACGCGUGAAGUUGACCGCCUGGGGAGUACGGCCGCAAGGUUGAAACUUAAUGAAUUGACGG
rnacentral:rRNA from 1 species